UACGGGGGGGGCAAGCGUUGUUCGGAAUUACUGGGCAUAAAGGGCUCGUAGGCGGCCAACUAAGUCGGAUGUGAAAUCCCCAGGCUUAACCUGGGAAUUGCAUCCGAUACUGGAUGGCUUGAAUCCGGGAGAGGGAUGCGGAAUUCCAGGUGUAGCGGUGAAAUGCGUAGAUAUCUGGAGGAACACCGGUGGCGAAGGCGGCAUCCUGGACCGGCAUUGACGCUGAGGAGCGAAAGCCAGGGGAGCAAACGGG
rnacentral:rRNA from 1 species